rnacentral:rRNA from 1 species
AGCGAACGCUGGCGGCAGGCUUAACACAUGCAAGUCGAGCGCCCCGCAAGGGGAGCGGCAGACGGGUGAGUAACACGUGGGAACGUGCCUUUUGGUUCGGAACAACCCAGGGAAACUUGGGCUAAUACCGGAUAAGCCAUUACGGGGAAAGAUUUAUCGCCAAACGAUCGGCCCGCGUCUGAUUAGCUAGUUGGUGGGGUAAUGGCCCACCAAGGCUACGAUCAGUAGCUGGUCUGAGAGGAUGAUCAGCCACAUUGGGACUGAGACACGGCCCAAACUCCUACGGGAGGCAGCAGUGGGGAAUAUUGGACAAUGGGGGCAACCCUGAUCCAGCCAUGCCGCGUGAGUGAUGAAGGCCUUAGGGUUGUAAAGCUCUUUUAGCAGGGAAGACAAUGACGGUACCUGCAGAAAAAGCCCCGGCUAACUUCGUGCCAGCCGCCGCAGUAA